rnacentral:rRNA from 1 species
UACGUAGGUGGCAAGCGUUGUCCGGAUUUAUUGGGUUUAAAGGGCGCGUAGGCGGCUUGAUGUGUCAAAGGUGAAAUCCCUCGGCUCAACUGAGGAACUGCCUUUGAAACUGUCUGGCUUGAGGCCGGGAGAGGGUAGCGGAAUUCCCAGUGUAGCGGUGAAAUGCGUAGAUACUGGGAGGAACACCGGUGGCGAAGGCGGCUACCUGGACCGGUUCUGACGCUGAUGCGCGAAAGCGUGGGUAGCAAACAGG